UACGGAGGGGGCUAGCGUUGUUCGGAAUUACUGGGCGUAAAGCGCACGUAGGCGGCUAUUCAAGUCAGAGGUGAAAGCCCGGGGCUCAACCCCGGAACUGCCUUUGAAACUAGGUAGCUAGAAUUCUGGAGAGGUCAGUGGAAUUCCGAGUGUAGAGGUGAAAUUCGUAGAUAUUCGGAAGAACACCAGUGGCGAAGGCGACUGACUGGACAGAUAUUGACGCUGAGGUGCGAAAGCGUGGGGAGCAAACAGG
rnacentral:rRNA from 1 species